rnacentral:rRNA from 1 species
CCUACGGGUGGCAGCAGUGAGGAAUAUUGCACAAUGGGGGAAACCCUGAUGCAGCGACGCCGCGUGAAGGAAGAAGUAUCUCGGUAUGUAAACUUCUAUUAGCAGGGAAGAAAAUGACGGUACCUGACUAAGAAGCUCCGGCUAACUACGUGCCAGCAGCCGCGGUAAUACGUAGGGGGCAAGCGUUAUCCGGAUUUACUGGGUGUAAAGGGAGCGUAGGCGGUUUAGCAAGUCAGAAGUGAAAGCCCGGGGCUCAACUCCGGGACUGCUUUUGGAACUGGGUGGCUGGAGUGCAGGAGGGGCAGGCGGAAUUCGUGGUGUAGCGGUGAAAUGCGUAGAUAUCAGGAGGAACACCGGUGGCGAAGGCAGCCUGCUGGACUGCAACUGACGUUGAGGCCCGAAAGCGUGGGGAGCAAACAGGAUUAGAUACCCUUGUAGUC